rnacentral:rRNA from 1 species
UACAGGGGGUGCAAACGUUGCUCGGAAUCAUUGGGCGUAAAGCGCACGUAGGCGGUUUGUUAUGUCGGAUGUGAAGGCCCUUGGCUCAACUGAGGAAGUGCAUCCGAAACUGGCAAGCUAGAGUACUAAAGAGGGUCGCGGAAUUCCAGGUGUAGCGGUGAAAUGCGUAGAUAUCUGGAGGAACACCGGUGGCGAAGGCGGCAUCCUGGACCAACACUGACGCUGAGGAGCGAAAGCCAGGGGAGCAAACGGG